UUGCCUUAAACUAAUGAGUAAGGAAAACAAAGCGGAAGGUGAGAACCGGCCGCCGCAUCUCCAGUAAUGGUGCAUGAAUUUAUGGAGGGGUAAUAGGCUGGCCGAGUGUAGACGCUGCCUCUUCUGCAGAACUCACUCUGGCGGGCCUCCCAC